rnacentral:tRNA from 1 species
GAAAAAGUAAUUUAAAAAAAAUAUACCUUUGUCAAAGAUAAUUUAUCAUAACGAUCUUUUUCU